CAGCCCUAAACGAUGCGCGUUAGGUGUAUCGGUGACCACGAGUCACCGAGGUGCCGAAGGGAAACCGUGAAACGUGCCGCCUGGGAAGUACGGUCGCAAGGCUGAAACUUAAAGGAAUUGGCGGGAGAGCACCACAACGGGUGGAGCCUGCGGUUUAAUUGGACUCAACGCCGGGAAUCUCACCGGAUAAGACAGCUGAAUGAUAGUCGGGAUGAAGACUCUACUUGACUAGCUGAGAGGAGGUGCAUGGCGUAGUCGUGU
rnacentral:rRNA from 1 species